CCAGACGGCCGGACGGCCGCCGGUUCCGCCGCGUCCGCGCGGCGGCGCCGGAGGAAAGUCCGGGCUCCACGGGAAUGCGGUGCCGGAUAACGUCCGGCGGGGGCGACCCCAGGGAAAGUGCCACAGAAAACAAACCGCCCGACCGGCCCUCGCCUUCGCGCAAGGACCUGACGGGCAAGGGUGAAACGGUGCGGCAAGAGCGCACCGCGCCCGCGGCAACGCAGGCGGCAGGGUAAACCCCACCGGGAGCAAGACCGAAUAGGGACGGCAGACUCCUGCGCCGCAGGGAUCAGGGGCAUUCCCGCCCCGCCGUCCGGGUUGGUCGCGCGAGGCGCGCCGCGAGGCGCGUCCCAGAGGAAUGGCCGUCCCGCGCGGUUCGCCGUGCGGACAGAACCCGGCUUACAGGCCGUCUGGCGCC
rnacentral:RNase_P_RNA from 1 species